UUUCACGCUGGCGGCCGGCCUCACACAUGCAAGUCGCGCGGAUGAAGGGAGCUUGCUCCUGGAUUCAGCGGCGGACGGGUGAGUAAUGCCUAGGAAUCUGCCUGGUAGUGGGGGAUAACGUCCGGAAACGGGCGCUAAUACCGCAUACGUCCUGAGGGAGAAAGUGGGGGAUCUUCGGACCUCACGCUAUCAGAUGAGCCUAGGUCGGAUUAGCUAGUUGGUGGGGUAAAGGCCUACCAAGGCGACGAUCCGUAACUGGUCUGAGAGGAUGAUCAGUCACACUGGAACUGAGACACGGUCCAGACUCCUACGGGAGGCAGCAGUGGGGAAUAUUGGACAAUGGGCGAAAGCCUGAUCCAGCCAUGCCGCGUGUGUGAAGAAGGUCUUCGGAUUGUAAAGCACUUUAAGUUGGGAGGAAGGGCAGUAAGUUAAUACCUUGCUGUUUUGACGUUACCAACAGAAUAAGCACCGGCUAACUUCGUG
rnacentral:rRNA from 1 species